rnacentral:rRNA from 1 species
UACGGAGGGUGCAAGCGUUAUCCGGAUUCACUGGGUUUAAAGGGUGCGUAGGUGGGUUGGUAAGUCAGUGGUGAAAUCCGGCAGCUCAACUGUCGAACUGCCAUUGAUACUGUAGGACUUGAAUUAUUGUGAAGUAACUAGAAUAUGUAGUGUAGCGGUGAAAUGCUUAGAUAUUACAUGGAAUACCCAUUGCGAAGGCAGGUUACUAACAAUACAUUGACGCUGAUGGACGAAAGCGUGGGGAGCGAACAGG